rnacentral:rRNA from 1 species
UACGUAGGGUGCAAGCGUUGUCCGGAAUUAUUGGGGCGUAAAGAGCUCGUAGGCGGUCUGUCACGUCGGCUGUGAAAACCCGGGGCUCAACCCCGGGCCUGCAGUCGAUACGGGCAGACUAGAGUGCGGUAGGGGAGACUGGAAUUCCUGGUGUAGCGGUGAAAUGCGCAGAUAUCAGGAGGAACACCGGUGGCGAAGGCGGGUCUCUGGGCAUUAACUGACGCUGAGGAGCGAAAGCAUGGGGAGCGAACAGG